rnacentral:rRNA from 1 species
CCUACGGGGGGCUGCAGUGGGGAAUAUUGCACAAUGGGCGAAAGCCUGAUGCAGCGACGCCGCGUGAGCGAAGAAGGCCUUCGGGUCGUAAAGCUCUGUCCUAUGGGAAGAAAGAUGACGGUACCAUAGGAGGAAGCCCCGGCUAACUACGUGCCAGCAGCCGCGGUAAUACGUAGGGGGCGAGCGUUGUCCGGAAUGACUGGGCGUAAAGGGUACGUAGGCGGCUAGAUAAGUCAGAUGUGAAAGGCAUAGGCUUAACCUGUGUAAGCAUUUGAAACUGUCUAGCUUGAGUCAAGGGGAGGAAAGUGAAAUCCUUGUUUGGUGGGCAAAUGCCUUGAUUUUAAGGAGGAUAACCAUUGGGGAAGGCGAUUUUCUGGCCUUAGAUUACCCUCGAGUAACGAAGCAGGGGGGACCAAACAGAUUACGAUCCCCUGUAGUC